UACGUAGGGGGCUAGCGUUGUCCGGAUUUAUUGGGCGUAAAGAGCGUGUAGGCGGCCAGGUAGGUCUGCUGUGAAAACUCGAGGCUCAACCUCGAGACGUCGGCGGAAACCAUCUGGCUAGAGUCCGGAAGAGGAGAGUGGAAUUCCUGGUGUAGCGGUGAAAUGCGCAGAUAUCAGGAAGAACACCCGUGGCUAAGGCGGCUCUCUGGGACGGUACUGACGCUGAGACGCGAAAGCGUGGGGAGCGAACAGG
rnacentral:rRNA from 1 species